rnacentral:rRNA from 1 species
UAUUGGACAAUGGGCGAAAGCCUGAUCCAGCAAUGCCGCGUGAGUGAUGAAGGCCUUAGGGUUGUAAAGCUCUUUUACCCGGGAUGAUAAUGACAGUACCGGGAGAAUAAGCUCCGGCUAACUCCGUGCCAGCAGCCGCGGUAAUACGGAGGGAGCUAGCGUUGUUCGGAAUUACUGGGCGUAAAGCGCACGUAGGCGGCUUUGUAAGUUAGAGGUGAAAGCCUGGAGCUCAACUCCAGAAUUGCCUUUGAUACUGCAUCGCUUGAAUCCAGGAGAGGUGAGUGGGAUUCCGAGUGUAGAGGUGAGAUUCGUAGAUAUUCGGAAGAACACCAGUGGCGAAGGCGGCUCACUGAGCUGGUAUUGACGCUGAGGUGCGAAG